UACAGAGGGUGCAAGCGUUAAUCGGAUUUACUGGGCGUAAAGGGCGCGUAGGUGGUAGCGUAAGUGAGUUGUGAAAUCCCCGGGCUUAACCUGGGAACUGCAACUUAUACUGUGUUACUGGAGUGCAAUAGAGGGUAGUGGAAUUUCCGGUGUAGCGGUGAAAUGCGUAGAUAUCGGAAGGAACACCAGUGGCGAAGGCGGCUACCUGGAUUGACACUGACACUGAGGCGCGAGAGCGUGGGGAGCAAACAGG
rnacentral:rRNA from 1 species